AUUGCCUUAGUAGCGGCGAGUGAAGCGGCAACAGCUCAAAUUUGAAAGCUGGCUCCUUUGGGGCCCGAGUUGUAAUUUGUAGAGGAUGCUUUUGGUGCGGUGCCUUCUGAGUCUCCUGGAACGGACGCCAUAGAGGGUGAGAGCCCCGUAUAGUUGGACACCAAGCCAUGUGAAUCUCCUUCGACGAGUCGAGUAGUUUGGGAAUGCUGCUCAAAAUGGGAGGUAAAUUUCUUCUAAAGCUAAAUACCGGCCAGAGACCGAUAGCGCACAAGUAGAGUGAUCGAAAGAUGAAAAGCACUUUGAAAAGAGGGUUAAAAAGUACGUGAAAUUGUUGAAAGGGAAGCGCUUAUGACCAGACUUGUGCCCUGCGGAUCAGCCGGUCUCCUGGCCGGUGUACUUCGCUUGGUUCAGGCCAGCAUCAGUUCGGUGAGGGGGAUAAAAGCCUCAGGAACGUAGCUCUCCUCGGGAGUGUUAUAGCCCGGGGCAGAAUACCCUCCGGGGGACCGAGGUUCGCGCUUCUGCAAGGAUGCUGGCGUAAUGGUCAUCAGCGGCCCGUCUUGAAACACGGACCAAGGAGUCAAGCAUUAGUGCGAGUGUUUGGGUGUCAAACCCGCGCGCGUAAUGAAAGUGAACGGAGGUGAGAGCCCUCACGGCGCAUCAUCGACCGAUCCUGAUGUAUUCGGAUGGAUUUGAGUAAGAGCAUUAGCGCUGGGACCCGAAAGAUGGUGAACUAUGCUUGGAUAGGGUGAAGCCAGAGGAAACUCUGGUGGAGGCUCGCAGCGGUUCUGACGUGCAAAUCGAUCGUCAAAUUUGGCAUGGGGCGAAAGACUAAUCGAACCAUCUAGUAGCU
rnacentral:rRNA from 1 species